ACACGGUGGAUGCCCUGGCAGUCAGAGGCGAUGAAGGGCGUGCUAAUCUGCGAUAAGCGCCGGUAAGGUGAUAUGAACCGUUAUAACCGGCGAUACCCGAAUGGGGAAACCCAGUGUGACUCGUCACACUAUCAUUAACUGAAUCCAUAGGUUAAUGAGGCGAACCGGGGGAACUGAAACAUCUAAGUACCCCGAGGAAAAGAAAUCAACCGAGAUUCCCCCAGUAGCGGCGAGCGAACGGGGAGGAGCCCAGAGCCUGAAUCAGCAUGUGUGUUAGUGGAAGCGUCUGGAAAGGCGCGCGAUACAGGGUGACAGCCCCGUACACAAAAGCGCAUGUGCUGUGAGCUCGAUGAGUAGGGCGGGACACGUGGUAUCCUGUCUGAAUAUGGGGGGACCAUCCUCCAAGGCUAAAUACUCCUGACUGACCGAUAGUGAACCAGUACCGUGAGGGAAAGGCGAAAAGAACCCCGGCGAGGGGAGUGAAAAAGAACCUGAAACCGUGUACGUACAAGCAGUGGGAGCACCCUUUGGGGUGUGACUGCGUACCUUUUGUAUAAUGGGUCAGCGACUUAUAUUCUGUAGCAAGGUUAACCGUAUAGGGGAGCCGGAGGGAAACCGAGUCUUAACCGGGCGUUAAGUUGCAGGGUAUAGACCCGAAACCCGGUGAUCUAGCCAUGGGCAGGUUGAAGGUUGGGUAACACUAACUGGAGGACCGAACCGACUAAUGUUGAAAAAUUAGCGGAUGACCUGUGGCUGGGGGUGAAAGGCCAAUCAAACCGGGAGAUAGCUGGUUCUCCCCGAAAGCUAUUUAGGUAGCGCCUCGUGAACUCAUCUCCGGGGGUAGAGCACUGUUUCGGCUAGGGG
rnacentral:rRNA from 1 species